rnacentral:lncRNA from 1 species
ACAUAAUGAGCACAAGAGUUAGAGCUUAAGAAUUUGAUAAAAUAGAACUACUUGUUUGGCUGUGAUGCACCAUGCAGACCACUGAAGUAUGCCUGAGGAUUGCUCUCAAAUACUCCUCUUGAUAUGUAACUUCCAUCCCCACCAGGGGCCUUCAUAUAUGAACCACCGCCGCCGCUUGAAUUUCCACCACCACUACCUUUUCCACAGCCGCCUCCCUUGCCACCACCGCCGCCUCCCUUGCCACCACCUCCGCCACCUUUGCCACCCAUCUUUCAAAUGAUCACUUCCUAAAGUUUCUGAUAGCAGGGUAGAGAAGAUUUUUAAUAUCUCGGCAAUGUGAAAUGCAAUCUCAUUUGAGUAGCUAUUUAUAGAAGAGAAAAAUGGAAAGCUCUGUUCAAAGGAAUUAAUGUUUUCUUUGACGCAGUUAACGAUAGUGUUG